UCAGUGUAGAAUUGAAAAACUUAAUUCAUAUAGUUUCUUUUUUCUGGACAACCCUCCCCCUUCUUCUUCUUAGCUUAAUUUCUAAAAAAAAGUCUUGAAAAAGUAAUGGUAAAUGCAACGAAAUAAAAUUGAGAAUGGAAAUGGGGAAUGUGCCAAAGAGACAACAACCCGACCAUAGAAAAAAACAACAGCAGAAGGUCACCAACAGGUCUUCAAUGUAGCGAGAAAUUCCCGCACCCGGAGGCGUCCUUCAACUGGCCCCUAAACAAAUAUAUACUAGUUCAGUGAUAAUGAACGCCAUACUAAUAUCCAAAUUGUACACAAAAAACUAAAAUUAAAAUAAUACAAGACUAACAAAGGCCAGAGGCUCCUGACUUGGGACAGGCGCAAAAAUGCGGCGGGGUUAAACAUGUUUGUGAGAUCUCAACCCUCCCC
rnacentral:lncRNA from 1 species